rnacentral:lncRNA from 1 species
AGUCAGUAAGUGUUUUAAAGGGCUCUUGUAUCUGUCUUUUUAGUCACUUGUUUAAUGAUUCUUGUUGAGAUUAGUCAUUCUGAAGUGAUAUUCUUGAUGGGUAUGUAAGAAAUCCUGGAGAUACGUUCCUAUUUUCAAAUAUUGUUGGUAAAUUAACCCACAUUCAGAUCUUUAUUUGUUGUGAAUCGUUAGGUGAUGGAAGGAACCUUCUUGCUUUCUUGUUACGGUGAUAUAUUGAAGGAACACAUAUAAAUUGUUUGUAAUGUUAUUGGUUUGUUUACAAGUUGAUUGGUGCUAUAUGCAGUUGGGGAAUCAUUGCAUCUGUUUGACUGUUUGAGGAAUAAAACUACUAGGCAAUGCAAAAGAUGUGCACGAUUGAGGGUUUGCGCAUGACUUUUCAACCUCGGCCUCAAGUUGUAUGGGUGUGAACAAUGAACUAUAUACACAGGUUGAAAUAGAUGGGGAUGUGUGGGGUAAGGGAGUUGGGAUGACAUGGGAUGAAGCUAAGAUGCAGGCUGUGGUCUUAAGCGGAAAAUAAAGCCCAUAUUGGAGUGUUCCGCUUGUUUGUGAAGGCCAUGCUAAGGAUGUGUAAUCUGCUGAUUAAGUCCCAGCUGCACCGCUUGGGCUUAGGUACUCGUAUACAAUUGACAGCCCACUACGUGGUCACCUAAUAUAAUUGCUUCUACUCAUUUUAACAUGUUUUGUUUUUGUAAAAAUUAUUCUAAUUCUUUCCGCGUUGAUCAUGUCGGAUGUUGACGAAAUACCUAGCGCUCACACGAUCGAUCUUUUGAGAUGGUGUGAUGGCCCACCACCGAUUCUUCAUCUAAAUUUGAAUAAUUAUUUG